GUGUUGAUUUGCCCCAUCUGGGAGCUGGGAAAGAGCAGUAUACCCAUCUGCUGUGCAGCACAUGAAGAGCAGGACCCAGCCAACAAGAGCUGCACGUAGAUGCUGAGAUGGAAGAAGACAGCAGCCCAGAAGGGCAGGGAAGAAUGUCAGAGUGCCUGUGAAUAUUUUCACAAGGACUGGGGAGAACUUUUUCCCACGCCACUCUACAGUCAAACCCUCCAGAUGCCAACAGAUUACUGAUUAGGCUUUCCUGCCCUUGACUUGGGAUCAUCGUGUUGCAGAGCACUUGGGGACAGAGCAAAAGGCACCUCUCAUCAUGCUGUUAAUGAUGUUUUUCCACAAACUGAGAAAACACAUUCCCAAGAAAUGCCUUAAGACAUGCUGCCAGCCUGUGACCUUCUGCAAGGCGGUCUCAGGGCCAGCAGUGUAAAGGACGAGAUAGAUCUUCCUCCCACUGUCAUCACAAGCUGAGAGAAGAGAUGCUAACAGCCUCCUGUGUACUGCAGUGGAAGGCAGCUGGCACAGAAAGCGUGGAACCACAGGAAAAGGAAAUCCAUUCAUCACAAUUCUGGAAUGCUGGAAAACUCACUGAGGAACUACAAAGGGCAGGUAAAGCAAAAGCAUUUAAAAUAGUUGCAGAUGAGCUGAUAAGCGGCUCAAAGAAACAGUUAAAUUUGUGUGCAGAUAACUUAACCACAGUAUCUGGAAUGUAUAAACAUAGCACUUUUUUUUUUUUUUCUGGCCUUAAAAUUUGAUCCAAGUCUGGGAGUUAAGAAGUCCCAUUUUGUGUAAUCAGGUUCUGGUUGAACAUGAUUGCUGAAUUAUUUUAAAUUGAAGACACAUGUCUGGAUGUUGAGUUCUGUAUAUUAUUCCAGGAUGGUGUCCAUUAGGUCUUAUCCACAGGGGCUAUCUUCAUUCCUUAUGCAUCAGGAUUAGCAAAUGGUGAAUCAUGAAUAUGGAGGCAGUGAAUAGAAUGUGGUACUAGUUAAAUGGUGAUUUUGGAAAUUAUCUUGCAUGCAUUAUUCAAAACUUUUCAGUCUCUCCUGCAUAGAGUCCCUAAGGCUGUUUCAAAGUGUUAUUUUAAAGCACACUUGUACAAGGCAUUUGCAUUCUUUCAUUUUGAAUCUUGAGUUUAGCAACGAACCAACAUUUGCUUUAACCCCUUGUCAGUCCUAAAGCAUUCUCAAGAGUAUGAGUUGCUCAUCUAAUGGUUGCACUGCCAUAUGCUGUCCUUCUAUAAUAGAUCUGCCCCUGACCUCUGUGUUUUUACAUUGCUUUUUUUACUGGCAGAUGGACCAUUACAUGAAUUGAAACAUAUUUUAAUGGAUACUCCCAGUGGUGAGAGAAUAUUGUCUCAUUAGCUCCAUGGGGAAAACAGUGUAAACCCAAAGCUGAGUAGCUCACCUAUCCAUAUGGUGGGUGAAAAGAGGUGUCCUUACAGCAUAUGCUACAGGCAACGAUGCCUCCUGAAUUGCUAGAAGAUCAAACUUCUGAGGUGUGACAAGGAGACGAUGAACAAAGAGUUUGUCUUUUUCCUGUCUGGGCUGUCCGAAUGCUUGUGUAGCUUUUAAAGACUGGGCUGGAUGCUCUUUGGGUGCCCUGCGGCCAUGUACCACAGAUCAGUCACCACAAGGUGCUCUGCCCUUAUCUUUUCCCCACACAGAGCUCCUGCGGGGAAGGUCUCUGAAAGUCUUUGUUCAUCAGAAUUUUUUUCAGUUAAAUGGAUCUUUUUUGGUUUUUUUUUGUUUGUUUGUUUCAAAUCAAAACAAAAUCGACAAAAAGAAGACUGUCACCAUCAUUUGCAUGUUUCUAUUUUCACAUGUUCGUAACAACCGUAACGGGAAUUUUAUCCAUCUUUUAAUCAAAACUGUUUGAGAAAUCACACCACCCAACUUCUUCACAAAGGAAAACACUCUUGUCAGUGUGUGGACGACUUGAUGACAGAGUCAACAGUGAUUCUGAUAUAACAUUUCAUGAAAAUUGAAAGACAUCCCAAAAGCCUGCAAAGAGGAAGUGGCCACAAAAUAUGAAUACCUAUGGCCCGUUCAAAAUGCAUUCCUCAGUUUUCAGCCUGGGAAAUGACAGAGUUCAUUGUGCAGAUGGGCUCUCUGAUUCCAUCCCAAUGGUAUCUCCAUACACCGCCUCUCUCCCUCCCUCUUAGGCAGGGUGAAUCUGCUGGGCUUUAAAUCUUUCUCAGCCAGGAGGAAUUCCGAAAGGAGGAAAACAGCUGGGAAACACAUAUCCAUGCCUCCUGCAAAGGUAUGUGCCUUAUAUAUUACUGCGAGGCACAACAUCAUUUUCCAAAAAUCUCUCACUCUCUUAAAUAACACACAAAGUAUUGUUCUGAGCUGAGCUAAGGUGGAGCUGGCAGUUGACAUGUCUGAGGUCAUUCGAUAAAUGGGUGUAAUGAAGUAGUCAUGGCUAAUAUGUGUUAUAAGCUUAAUAUGAACCUGAAAAUCCCACAGAGGAGAUAUUAUAUCUUUAAAAAAUGAUAGUACGGUAAUGAUUCUAAAUCCUGCAGCUUACAAUAGUGUUUAACUGUUUUGAGCCAUUAUCGUGAUAUUAUUUUAGGGAUUUUCAUUGCAAUAGAUAGUUACAUUAAAAUUACAUUUAAGUAGAGAGUUGCCAGACUUUGCUGAUGCUUUACUAAGAACCACACAGCAGACACUUGUGAAAGCACUUCCUCUUGCCACAUACAAAUGGAUGAUUUACAAUAUGGCUAGAGAUGACAGCUUUAAUUAAAUUUCUUUUGAGGAGCUCAUUCUGGCAGCUAACCUGUGCUGGAAAGAGUGUGACACUCACUUGCAUACUUAGGAUGAGAAUCCAGAAACAGUCUUUUUAGUGGUGUAUAUCUAAAAGCAAGUAAAUAUCAUCUUAUCUGUGCAAGUCAGGAAAAUGAGGCCCAAAGGUGUGAUGUGUCUUGUACGUCACUAAUGGCCUUAACCAUUGAAGUCACUGAGCUGUACUAUACUAUAAUAAAAAAAAAAAAAAAAAAAGACA
ensembl:lncRNA